GCUGAUUUAGCUCAGUUGGUAGAGCAAUUGAUUCGUAAUCAAUGGGUCGGAGGUUCGAGCCCUCUAGUCAGCACCA
rnacentral:tRNA from 3 species